rnacentral:lncRNA from 1 species
UGUGCCAGGGGUCUAAUCAGGCUCGUGUCUGCCUCCCUCUAGAGAAGAUCAAAGGUCCUAUUUAAAAAACAGAGGUCCUAUCUAAACCUUCUGAGGCAGUCCCCUCUCUAGGUGGCCAGAGAGUUCAAGACCUUAAUGUGGUUUCCCAGGGAUGGUGACACAGCAGCCAAGGUGAUUGGUACUGGGGCUGCCACAGUCGUUUGGCUGGAUCUGGGGCUGGCAUUGCCAUUGGAAUGUAGUUUGGUGGCUUGAUUACUGGCCGUGCCAGGAGUCCCUUUCUCCAGCUAUGCCAGCAGCUCCUCUCCAGUGCCAUUCUGGGCUUUGCCUUGUCCGAGGCCAUGAGGCUCUUGUCUUUGAUAAUUGCUUUUGUCAUCCCCUUUGAUGUGA